CCGGUUUUUCGUAAAAAUGAACUUCUGUUGUACAACAAGUGUGAAAUAAAUAUUUCUAUUUCUGUUGACUGGCUUAACUAAUAAAUGGUUCCGAGACAAGAGGCCACGGACCAGGAGCGGUACCUCACAGGAGGAAUAGAAGGAUCAACCCUGUGAAUCAACAACCGAACCCGCAACACAACCUCCGCGCGGAAACAGAUCUUUUCUACCAUGUCACAAACAAAUUCUGCCGCUGCGGCCUCCGCCUGGCCACGGACGACUUAUCUUGCAUCGGCAGUAGGAAUAUUGGACAAAGGUGGGGAGAUCCUGUGCGUUCCCUGACAACUCAAUCGGAAUAUCGCAAGAUGAUACCACAGCCAGUGUCCUCCCGAGUGAACGGAAGAAUUCACAAUACCACCAUCCAGCAGCCCACCUAUAACUCUUUGACAUCAGCUCACGGAGCGGCGAAACAGUAGAUUGUAAAGUUAGCCACCGACCCGUGUCCACCAGGUUGAGGACCACUGCGACAUCCGAGAAUGAAAAUGCUACCCAUCUCCAAGCAGCAAACGCAAAUACCUGGAAGCAUGUCAACUGCGGCGUAGUCCCCGGAACCUGCUGUUAGAUGCCGAUCUUAUUUUGGUGCAGACCAAGUAUUAUUGUGCUAUUACAUUUAUAUUCUUCUAAAUUUUACUUAUUUGUUGGAAUAAAAUGCUUUAUUGUUUAAGAUUUUUGAUUAUUUUUUAAAGUAGGAUGUAUUAGAAAAAUUAAGAAUUUUCCAAAUAAAAGAAAAUCAC